CAUUUUAUUAUCAAUAUUUUUCAUACAAAUGUUAUUUUUCUAUCCAAAUUUUUAUUUUUGGGCGGUUUGAUUUAUUUUUUUCAUAGAAAAUAUUUUCCUACUUUUUGAUAUGAUUCAGGAUGCGUCGCCGAUUAUCGAAGAAGUGAUGAUUAAUUGGAAGAAACCAAAGCCAUGUUCAAAACCUCGAGGAGCUAAUGAAAGUCACACAAUUGCUUGGUUGAGCUAUGGAGAACAAAAGAUUGAAGAGAACCUGCCAAAAUCCACGUAAAUCAAAAAUAUUUUCUUAAUUUUCGACCAAACUUUCUCCAUUGUCUACUAUUCCAAAAUGCAUUUUUUUCAUAAAAUUGAGUCCAAACACCCUCUAAAUAUGCCACGAAUGGGUGAUUUGAUCUCCUUCCCAAGUUUUACCUCUUGCAGGUUGGAUUUGGAGUGGGGACGCUCUAUUGCACGAAAACCAUUUAUGUCAAUGAAUUUAUUGAAAAUAAAGUGCAUAGAUUUUCUGUACAAGAUUAAGCUCCUAUUUGAGCUUCAUCUUCUUAAAAAAAAAAAAAAAUUUAUUUUCAACUACUCAUUAUCCUAAUAAAAUAUUUUGGGUAAUUAGCACAAAACAUCCCUACCUUUCGAUGUUUUUGUGGAAAACAUCCCUACCUUUUUUUUUAGCAUAAUUAGCACAAAAGGUCCAUACAUUUCAAUGUUAUUGUGCAAAACGUCCAUAUCUUUCAUUUUUAGCAUUUUCACCCCUACAUUUCACCUUUCAUUGUGCAAAAAGAUCAUUUUCAUCCAUUUUUUCAAUAAAAUGACGAUUUUACCCUCCUAUUGAAAUAAAACAAAAAGAAAAGAAAAAAAUAAUUAAUUAAUUGCAAUCAUAGUUCUAAAUCUUUCAAAACAUUACAGAUAAAUCCUAAAUUCUCCACUACCGCCACUUUCACAACCCCACCAAGCCAUCACCUAUAGAUCUAUAUAGCACCACUUUUCGACCAUAACACCUAUCGGACUCCACCACCACCAGUGUCGCCUCACUCUCCCCAAUAUCCUCCUCCAUAGUAUUGAUCACCAAUCUGUCCGAAACAACCAUAUUUACGGUGGUGGAGUCCGUUGGGCAUGGUGGCCGAAAGGUGGUAUUAUGUGGAUUUAUAGUUGGCAGCUUGAUAGGUUGUGAAAAUGGUGGUGGUUGAGAAUUUAUGAUUUAUCUGUAAUGUUUUGAAAGAUUUAGAACUAUGAUUGCAAUUAAUUAAUUAUUUUUUUUCUUUUCUUUUUGUUUUAUUUCAAUAGGAGGGUAAAAUCGUCAUUUUAUUGAAAAAAUAGAUGAAAAUGACUUUUUGCGCAAUGAAAGGUGAAAUGUAGGUGUAAAAAUGCUAAAAAUGAAAGGUAGGGACGUUUUGCACAGUAAUAUUGAAAGGUAGGGACCUUUUCUGCUAAUUAUGCUAAAAAAUAAAAGGUAGGGACGUUUUGCACAAUAACUUUGAAAGGUAGGGACCUUUUGUGCUAAUUACCUUUUUGAUUUAACGGAGCAUUUUAACGGAGAGUUGACAGAAGGACGUUUUGCACAAAAAAAGGUAAAGGUAAGGGUGUAAUCCGCCAAAAAAUGAAAGGUAAGGACGUUUUCCACAAAAACAUCUAAAGGUAGGGAUGUUUUGUGCUAAUUACCCAAAUAUUUUUAUACAUAACUUUUUUUCUUAUUUUUUAACUAUUCAUUUUUCAAAAAAAAAAAUCACUAUUACAAAAAUCCUUUUCUUUCCCCCCGUAAAAAUGGAAAUCAAACAUCUAAGAUUUUGACUAGUAUGUAAAAACAAUGUCCAACUAUAAGCCAUAUCUAACUUAACCUACAUUCAAAGUUGACGUUGACAUCAAGAUCAAGUGUCACCCUAUUUAUUAUUAUUAUUAAUUUUAAUUGCAUGCUAAGUUAAAAAGAAAGUGUAAAGUUUGCUUCUUCUUUUUUUCUCUGUAAAUGUAAUUUUUAGCUUAUUUUUCAACUUUAACCAAUAAAAUAAUUUAUUUAUUCAAUAAGUGAAUUUGCUCAUAAGCAAACCUUUUAAGCUGAAUUGAUCAAAAUGCUCUUAAAAAUUAAAAAUCUUACAUACUAUACUAUCCACUAUUACAUAUCAAAUAUGUUUUAAUGUUUUUAAUAAGUCGAUAAGAUAUUUUAGUCCAUUAUAAAUAAAUGACAUCGUCUUGACCACGAUAGAGCUUUUUUGCCCUUCACAUAAUAGAGGGACUAAAGUGCAAUGUCAAUAAUUAUAAAUAUAACAUAGUAUAUUACAAGAUAUAAGUGGGAUUCAAGACAAAAAUUAGUUGGGAUGCAUAAUUCAAACCUUUUAUGGACAUUGGGGCCCAGAGAGCCCAUCGAUUUUAUACAUCAAACUUGAUGAUAAGUAAUUAUUGAAAGCCACGUUAAGCCCAUGUUUGAUGGUCGUAAUUGAAGGAUAAAAUAAUGUUUUAAAUAGUGUUGUUUUAGAGAAUGCGUGAUUAAGAAGUAGGGAACAUGUACAAAAUAUUUUAUUAAGUGAAUGUAUAAUUAAAAAUGAGUAUGAGAAUUAAAGAACUUUGUUUUAAAAAGAGACAAGCAUGAACUAAUUGUGGGAGAUUGGGUCAUGCUUUGGACAUGCCAAGGAGGCUUGUUGAUCAAGACUUUGGGUUCAUUAGUCCCCAAAUAGAUUUAUCGAAGUCUUAAUGUGUAAGCAAGAGGAUCAACUUGUCUAACUUUAUCAUUGCUUAAACUCAUAUUUUAAAUUUCAUUCUCUCUUCAAAUUUAUUUAAAUAUCAUAUUUUUUGAGAUUUAUAAUUUUAUCAAUUUUUUAAUCAUACAUUUCAUCAAUUUUUAUUAAAAUUUAAUUUUUAACAAAACCAACAGAAACCUUAUGAAGUUUCUAUUUUUGUUUUGUUUUGUCCAAAUUUAAAUAGAUGAUACUAUAGAUUGACUUAUUUUAAAAGAUUGACUUAUUUCAAAAGGCGGGUCGUACUCGACUCAGCUUCCUAGAAUUGUGAUUUAUAUAAAUUAAGUGGAAAUUACACCUUUCCAGGUGUUUAAAGAUUGGGAUGUAAACAUCAUGUGGGGAAGUUUUUUAUGCACAUGUCAAGCUUUUAUAUAAAUAUUAAAUGUGAAAUAUUUAUUUUUUAUCAUUUAAUAAUUAGUCGAUGUGUAUAUUAACUGAUGGUGAGUUUUCUUAUUAUCGUAAUUCAAAUUACAAUUUUCUUAACUACCAUAUCAAUCAUCUCCUCUCUUUCUCUCUCUCUCUCUCUCUGUGCCCCCCACGAUUUCACGUAAUCUCCAAACCCUCUCUUUGUUCUCCCACGAUUUCCCGUCCCCUCCAAACACUCGCUCGUUCGAACUCAUCCACCCAAAGUCUAGAUAUCACCAUUUAGUUACCCUACAAUCUUAUCAUUGUUGAAUUCAAUUUGUGCAAGAAUCAUCGUGUUGAGUACAUCCCUUUCGUUACCCUAAAAAACGAAAUCUAAUGGAGAAAUCGAAGGGUGUAGGAGGGGUUAUUAAUCUUAAAGACACAAGAAGAAGAAGAAGCAAAAUGAGGUCAUAGGACAGCAUAAUGGAAACCCCAACGCAUUCGUGUCUGUGAUUGAGCGAAAAGGCCAAUCGAACAAGGUUAUUUCCUCAAUUUUUAUUUUAUUUUUAUUUUUUUUAAUCCAACAAUGAAAAAACAUACUGGAUAUUUGGGCAUUCUAUGAAAUGUAGGCGGUUGAAGUAAAUUCGGUAUUGGGCAUGACCUAGGGUUUUGGGUGUGAAGAGUAUGUGUAUGGAAACUCCUUUGUGCUUAUAAUUAGAUGUCUAAUAUGUUGCGUGAUCUUAGAGGAUGAUAUGUGACCCAAGCUCAGUGCAAGUGACCAUGGUAGAUGAUCUGUGACCUGAGCUCAGUGUAUGUGACUUGGAGGUGCUAAUAAUGAAUUGAUCUAAUCUGUGAUCUAUUCAUUUCAUUGAAAACUAAUACACAUAUCUGUGAACUGCUAUGAUGUGAUACAAAUCAAAAUGUUGGUUUUAUUACAAGACUUCCAAUUAUUGGUUUGUUAGUGACAAUGCGGCAUGUGUAUGAGAUUGUAUUUGUGCUUUUAAUUUUGAUGUCUUAUAAGUUGGAUGGUGUCACAGGUAUUAACAAUAUGACCAGACUCGAAUGUAUGUGAAUUGGAAGUACUAACAGUGAAUAGAUAUGUGAUCUGAGCUGACUGAAAAUGUGACUUGAGUGUUCUAAUAAUGAAGAUUUGUGACCCUAUUCAACUUAAUGACCCGAGUGUACAUGUGUAUGCAUAUGUGACCUGUUAGGCAGAGCAUGUUAUUAAUUGAAUCUUUUUGUGUUGUAACAUAUUAUCUGUGUGAGAUUUCUUUUCGGUACAAGUGUUUAACACUGUCUACAAUUUCAAUACAGGUCUGGCAAUUCAUAAUACCAGAAGACAGGUGGUUUCCUGGGAAAAUUACAACCUUAGUCUGCAAAGGUGUCUUGAAUACUAUUCAGAAGAGCUUAAGCCGACCACAGAAACGUAUAUUGAUGGGAACCUGUUUUGCUCAUUUUCUAGAGUGCGACGAGAUCAUGAUACAACCCCAAAUGAUUCACUUCUUCCUUCUGAGACAUGUUCAUUAGCCUAAUAACGAAGAAAUGUGGUUUUAAGUGGCUGGAAAGUAUGUGAAGUUAUCCAUCUCCCAGUUCUGUUUAGUCACAGGUCUGAGAUGUCAUGGAAAAUGUGAUACAUAAGUGUAUGACAGUAAGACAUCAAAACUGAAGGGAAAAUACUUUUCUCAAGUGGACACCGUAACACAUGAAGACAUCAAGUCCACAUUCUUCUUUGCGUGUCAAAUGCCGGACUUGGAUCUUAUCGAAGCUCUACCGGAUGAUGGCGUUGCUAGGAUAGGUGCAUUGUAUUUCCUCACUGCCUAUCUCUUUCCUAGAGAUUACAAGAAAGUUGUUGACAACUACUUAUUUCCCUAGUUGAGGACUUCGAUGCAAUGAACAGAUUCCCAUGGGGUAAAUUAUUAUUUGACAUUACCUUAGGUUUAUUGAAAGAUGGGUUGAGUAGGAGAACUGCACAUUACAGGCUACGAGGUAUGUUGGUAUUAUUUGACAUUACCUUCCAAGUAUGGAUUUAUAAGACUUUUCCAAGUCUAGAUAGAAUUAAUGUCACACGAACAUUGAAGACGCAUCCUCGAAUAAUGAAUUAGAUGGCAGAUGAACAAUCUCCUGCUACUAAGUUGGAAGGAGCCGACUGCUUCGCAAAUGUUGAUGUAAUACAUUAGUAAGCCUUGUUACUAGUAUACUGAACUGUUAUGAUUACACUUUUUUUAAUAUACACUUUUGUAGAUUGUGAUUUGUGACCUGGAACCAUCGGAAACAAAAAUGGCCAUGCCAUAUGUGAACAAUGUCCAGUAUAAGAAGUCGAUUAAACCGAACUUGUGAAGUAAGAGCCGCAAGAAAAAGAUGACAAAGAGGUCAGCCGACAAUGUUAGUACUAGCGGAAAGUCAGUGAUCAUCUUAACGGACAACAGUAUGGGGCAGCCUAAUGUAUUGAACGACGAUGAUGAUUUUUGUUGAUUCUCUACCACGACGUCAAGAUUCACCCCCUCGUAAAAAAUCUCUAAUUGAUGAAACACUGUCAGUUGCCCAUAACUCUCUAGAUGAACCACACUCUCACAGGCCGCAAUAGGUUGAUGUAAGUUGAUGUAAUUAUUUUUUUGAAAUCAGUGGACACAGAUCAAUGUCUUAGGUCACAUAUUACCUUUUGAAAUCAAUGGUCACAGAUCACUGCGAUGAAGGUCACAUAUCCACCAUAUUUUCAUCACAGAAAAUAUUUUCCUAAGUCACAUAUAACCAUUUUCUUUUCCAAAGAAUUGGUUACACUUGUGUUGUUAUAGUGUUAUGUCAGGCAUGUGAUGAUUUGAGAAUGCAAAUAUGCAAACUGCAGUCGGACAAUAAAUUGUUGAAUAGGGAGCUUGCUGACAUUAGGUCACAAAUGUCAUGCUUCAAUGAUGUGCACUCAACAAAAAUGAACUCCAUUGUCCAAAUGCAAGGUGUCCUAAAAAUUGACUUGAUGGAGAUUCGAACUAACAUGCAGUUUUUGUCCGAAACUGUGUCAGCAAUGAUAUCUAAUUCAAUGGAAGAGAUCAUGAGACGGUUUAGUGAAAAAGCAAAAGAUCGAAGCACAGAAGUUCUCGGAGUUGAAGACAAGGGAACUCAAGUUGCUAGAGGCUCUGAUAAGACUGAUGAGGUAUUUACAUGAUAUUUACACAUUUCAUUUUACACACCAUGGUCACAUUGACAUGCCAAGUAUUCUUUUUCUUCUCCAAGAUAUAGGUGCAAACAGUGCAGCCAAAUGUUGACAGGAGAUGGAAAGGUUAGAUAGACCCAAGUGAAGACAUUGGUACCCCCUGUAGUCUUCAACCACCAUCGUUCGAUAUGGGGAUCGGAUAUACGCAACCUAACGACAUACACUCUGAAGACAUUCAGAAACAGGUAGAUUCCGUUAUAUCAGACGUGGUGACGACAGCCAAAAGUGUUCAGGUAGAGGUAUUCAUAAAGCCAUUAUUCAUUCUGUACUCGUCAUAGAUCAACGACAUGCCAAUAAUAGUAAACUUUAACAUGUCACAAAUCAUUCAAAACUUAGUCACAUAUAGUUUCUAUAUACGAUGUGAAAUUUAACAAGUUUUUAUAACAAUAUACAGGGAUCCACGUCUCCUGAAAGCGGUUCUGAAUUACUAGUCAAGCAGGUUUUCAGGCCCGCAAGGAUAUUGUAGUCUCCGUUCGUCGUUGGAGAAGGUAAAUUGUUCAAACAUGAUGAUCAUGUCACAAUUUUCGAGCAUUUCAAAGGCGACAUUGAAGAAUUUGACAUAUCUACGUUCAUGAGUUGGUUCCAGAGGGGUUUUUAACCCAAAAAUAAGUACGUACAAUUUGUAUAUAUCUAAGAACAUAACUUAACAAGUCAUGAUAGCGCAACACUCAGUAUUCAAUUUCAUGUUUCACAUUUUCAUAUACUGUUUCCUUUUCUUACAUGUCAUUGUUUCCCUUUUUUACAGUACAUGGAUGCGUGCUUCUACUACAUUUGCCAACUUGCAAAACAUGGCAAGAAUGUAAAGUUUAGAGCCAUGACAACAAAUUCUUGGUUUCAGCAUAAAAUAAAAGACAUAUACCCUGGUUUUAUGAAUGAUCCCUAGGUUUUGAUGUCAAAGUUGAGCCUUGUUAAUGUCAUAACUGGUCACAGCCUUCCUUUAAGCAUACAUUGGGCUGAUGUUGACCAUGUGUUCAUGCCAAUACUGCCCACAAACAAGGCCCACUGGAUGCUAGGUGUGCUACAAUUCAGAAGCCACACCUUGACAGUGUUCAAUUCGAUAGGUAAAACAUAUCGUGACUAGAAGGUUCUAGAAGGCAUUGAGUCAUAUAUGAAAAUCUUGCCAGCACUUAUGAAUACUUUGGGAAUUUCAAAAAAUGACCCUGAUUACCACGGACCUGACUCCAAGGAAUUGAAGGUGCACAUCGACAGUACGCUACCUCAGCAGACAAAUGGGUAAUUCUUGUGACAUAUUAUGUGUACUUAACCUGAUAAUUUUUCAAUUAUGACAUUAUUUUUUCACUGUUAUUUUGCAGUCAUGAUUGUGAGAUAUUUGUGAUUUUGUACGCUUUAUACGUCAUCCGUGAUGGAUGAUGUUCCAUACCGCAUAGAUUCGAUAUUAACAAGUAUAGACUAAGUAUUGUUGCACUACUCUACAAAUAUCGGGAAAUGUACGUGAAGCAUGCUAAGCUGGGAUUAAUGGGGGGAUGGUUAUAGAAUGACAUCAUAUGUGUUAGGAAGAUGAAGUUUUAAUUGGUAGCUUUUGUGAUCUGUACACACAUGGCUUUUUUGUAUUUUUGUCGUUAUUUCUCAAGUGGAUUUGUCUUGUUGCUAUGUACAUGGAUUUUUUCGUGCGGAAUAUAUGACAAUUUCACUUUUCAUGUUAUAAAAUGUAAUAAUUGUUUUCCACAGGAAUUACUUUGGUCAACUGUUAUUUUUUGUUCACAGGUUAUUUUGGGUUUAUAUGCACAUGGAUGGUCAUAUUUGAAGAUUGGUCGCAUAUCAUGAGUUGCUUUGUACUGUAUCACAGAUUAUGUAAUCACAGGUAGUUAAAGUACAUGAUUUUUUAUUGUUAGAAAAUGUCACAGAUAACAGAAUUCAGUACAACAUAACUUUUUUAAGCCAAAUUUAAUCCUUUUUGCAUUAUUGGUCAGAGAUAACUCUAUUUUGUGUCACAUGUCAUCACAUUAUGUUCCAAAACUGUUUAGUGAUCACUUGUAUUUAUUAUUGGUCACAUUUCACUAGGAUUUAGGUCAUGUGAUCAUAUUUUGGUCACAGAGUUGUUAGGAAGUCACAUGUCAAUUUUUUUUUCCAAACCAUUGGUCACAUAUCUUUGAAAUUUGAUCACAUGCAUAUGCACGAUUCAUCAGGUCACAGUUAUGAAUUAUCAACGACCACAUAGUGCAAUGAUAGAGGUUAUGUGUUUUACAUCAGGUCACAUGUCCAGCUGUGUGAGGAAUAGGGAUUCACAGUCAACUAGAUUACAUAACUUUUGACCAUGUCUGAAUGAUUGUAUUAACAAACAAAUACUUAGACUCAAAUAAGAUUUUGCACACUUGGAAAAAUAAUGGUCAUAUAUAACGUCACUCUUGUAUUACAAAUGAAUGUUUCAAAAACACAAUGGUCACAUAUAUUAUGUGGUAUUGCAAUGUAUUGUAUUGACUAAUAUUAGCUCAAUGGGACAAGACUUGAGCAUCUCCUAUGGUUGUGACCAUAUCCUUCACAGUGCCCACAUUUCACCGAUAGUUUCCCAUUUCUGGAUGACAUCUUCCUCUUCUCAGUUGGCCUUUCACAACUCCGUUUCUGGUUAGGAGCUAACACAAUGUCAUGUAGCACUUCUUUAGGCAAUGUCUAUUCGCUUGGAUUUCCAACAGGAUAUAUAGUCUUCGUAUGCGUUCGUAUACAUCACGUGUGUAAUAAUAAAAAAAGAAAGUAUAUGGAUCCCUUUUUGUAUUUGCAAUUACAGCCAAUGCGUGUGGACAUGGUAAGAAAUCAACUUGUAGCAUCCUGCAUGUGCAUGUCUGUUUCUCAAUAUCAACAAAGAAAGUUAUCUUAUCACCACUAAUAGAAAACAGUGACUGGUUGGAAGGGAAAACCUGGGAGAAUAUAAUCAAAUGGACAAAUUACAUCAGUUCAAACAAGUAUCUAUGCAGCAGCCACAGUCUUGAGGUGUAUGUCACAAAUUAUAUAUCUGAGCAGGUCAUAGUUGCACAGUUUAAUGUCACAGAAAUAUAUGGAAAGGUCACAUGCAAUUGCACAAUUUAAUGUCACAGGAUUGUAUAGGAAGAUCACAUGCAGUGAGUUCAGGUCACAUAUAUAAAAGGCGCAUAAGUAUACAAACAUAUGUUAUCACAUAUGUGCAUUUCAAGUCACAUUAGUUUAUGCAGCUAUCGUAUGAGUAGUUGUGAUCAUCAAAAUUAAAACUUACUAUCAAGUUCUUUAAAUCUAUACUCAUUUUUCUGAUCUCGUUCUCGUAUUUGCUUAUCAACUUUGUAAAAGUCCCAUGCGCAUUGUCUCUAUGUUUACAAAACCAGUUUUGCGUAGUUUAUCGUAAUGACUCUAGCAAGGAUACGAUUGGAUAAUUUCUGGCUACCUUCGUGACUGCAUUGACUGAUUUCACGAUGUUCGAUGUCAUUGUUGAAUACCUAUUUUGUGGCAUAUAGAUUCGUGACCACUUUUCAGGUCCAAUCUCAACCUGCAAACAUGUAUUGCAUUGAGUAAUAUUAUAUAACUACAAUAUGUAAUCAUUCUAAUAUUUUAUGAAAAAUUACAUUGAAGUACUACAAUACCAAGUAAGUGCUAAUCUUCUAAUUCAUUGUGUCCGUCCAGUUACCUCAUAUGAUAUUUGAACUCUUCCAAUGUGUAAACUCUAACAGCUGAAUUGAAAGCUUGUGUAACGUUUUGUCCAGAUUUUCCAAAAUGUGACUUCAAGUUCUACAGCAAAUGAUACGAACAUAUACUAUGAUAGGUUCCCGGACACACAUGUUGUAUUACAUUAUUUAUACUAUUAUGCCGAUUCGAUACAAAAUAUAGCCCUUCUUUGUUCUUGUACGCCUUUUUAGGUUUUCUAAAAACCAUCUCCAAGUUUUGUCGUUCUCAUUAUUUCUAAUCCCAAAUGUAAGGACGAAUACACUAUUACUUGUAUCUUGCGUACACACUGUGAAAAGAGUACCUCCGUAGUGACCAUUCAAGUACGUACCGUCAAUCAUAAUUACAGGCUUACAAUGUUUCCAGCCGCGUAUUGAUGCACCAAGUGCCAUAAAGCAAUACCUAAAGCAAUUGUGACUAUCAACCUUCAAGUUUGUGAUCGUCCAAAGAUUCUUUUGUCGAAACAUGUAGAAAAAGCUGGUAUGUUACCAAACGAAUCAGUCGGAUGAUCUCUUAUCAUCUUCAAGGCUUGCUCGCGAGAUCUCCACGCUUUCGAAUAAUUUAAAUAAAUCUCAUAAGUAUGCAACAUAUCACUGCAUAUAUCCUUCGGUGUGUAUAUAGUACGAGACGACAUAUACUAGCGAACACAACUGUAGCUGAUAGUUGUCUGUGUGACCCCAACACUAUAUUUGAUGCACAUGUGUGACUACCAAUCUUCCGAAUGUUCAACAGUUCCGUUUUACCCCAUUUCGAUACUCUUCAUAUCCAACUUUAUCCCUCUUGUGAGCACCUCACAAUAUAUUCUUUUUUGUCUGACCGUUCCAUCAUAAACUUAAAUAUAUUCUGCAUGGCAAAAAGUGACAGGUUUAACUUUAAAAUAUCUUUAUCACAGAAGACAAUUCCUUCUUCGACCUAUCUAGCAUCUGCUACAUAAACAACUGUGAUUUCGUUGUCGUAAAUGUGACCUACAUUUGCAAUUGCUGCUUCACAGAUGUCUGAUGAUAUAUCUUGCAACUUACAUAACUCACCAGCUACAUGUGGAUUAACUGGCAGUGUGAUAGAUGGUUUAUCUACUUCUACCUCUGCAGCAUCAAUGAUUAAUGGGUAUUUAGUAGGUUCGUCCUCCAUAUCCUUUAGCAUGAUGUAAGAAAGCACAUUACUGUCAUUUCUGAUUCUAAUUGGAGGCAAAUCUUCAUUCAGUAUGUACUUCAUUGAGAUUGCUACCAUUGUAGGAUCCAAAUCGAACUCCUUUAUAACCGUGUCCACACAGUUUACAUAUCUGCAAUUUCGAUCUACCAACGCCAAAGAAGUUUGAGAUGCAUGCAACAGGCACACGUGUAGGUAUACCUUUUUUGCAAAUUAAAUUUACAUUUAUUAGUGGUCUAGUGAUGAAAGUGUAACGGUUGACACAGUUUGUGUAUGAAUUCCUAAAAUAGUAGGCAUACACGUUUUCCACAAAGUCACAAGUGAAUGCAUGGUAGAAAUAUAAAUCACAGGUUAGGCAUCAUAAUUCACAUACACGAAGCAUGUGCAUAGUCACAUAUACAGUGUGCAUUUAAUUAUACGAGUGUUUUCAUUCAGGUCACAUUUUUGGAAGUACGUCGUGUAAGAAUGAAUAUCACUGCAUAUUACAUGGGUCACAAAUCAUGUAACACAAUUAUCUCACUCAGAUUAUGCGCGGUAGUUCCAUAUACUGAGUGACUCAGGUCACAUUCUUCAAAAAGUCAAUCACGGAGAAUAUGAAUUUCAAUAUUGUUGAGACACAUUCAUCACACAUCUCAUAUGUGACCUUCAUAUUGCAUUACAUAUAAUACAUGCAUUGGUCACAUAGUCAGAUAUCAGAUUAUAUGUCGAAGCACGUACGUGUACUCUAUUUUCAGUGAUGAUCAAGAGUUUUGCGACUAAUGUUAGAUUUAUUCUGCUGCAAAUAUGAUUGUAUUACUAAAUUGAGAAUCGUGGUUUGAAAUUCAUUGAUUAUUCUUGUCUUCGGUGAUUGUAUUCGAUUUAUCGAACACAAUUCCGGAGUAUGUGACUCGACGUUUCCAUCGCGGGUGAGAUUGUGAAAUUUCUCAUCGAAAUCAGUGAUAACUGCUACCUGCUUCGUUAUCGUCAGCAGCCAGAAUAGGUUUUCACGGUGAGAACGCAGAAUGCUAGCUGAAUUUUUUAAUUUUGGGAAGUCGAUUUUGUACUAAAAUAAGUCAUGAUAUAGAAGGGAACUAGGCGUAAUUUUAGGAAACGACUAUAACUACACACACACACACACACACCUGACUUUAGAAUCUUCAAACUAUACAUCUGAUAUAUGCUACGGUGUAUACUUAGUCACCGAACUAUGAUUUUUUCCCAUAAAUUAAUUUUUUCUAUUAUUUCCUUUAGAAAACUAACCAAAAAAUUAACAUUGGCCUUGGUGGGCUGCUUGCCGCCAGGCAAACCGUGUCAAGUUUUGCAUGAGCCAGCUUAGUGAGAUCAGCCAAGAAGAUACGCUUCCUAUGUGAAUUAUGAAAUAUAUAUCAUUUAUUUUUAUUUAUUUAUAAUUUAAAUAGUAUAAAAAUAAAUUCGUAACAAAAGCACUAUGUGAAAGUCAUAUAAGUUGUUCAUUGCACACGGAAAAAAUAUUGUUGUGCCCUAUAGUUGUUGACUAACAUUUUGUAUUUUCAAAAAGAUAAGUGUCGUAAUUUGGGUUAUCAAUCUAUACCCCUGAAAUAACUUUCUAAUUUCGUGCUCAUGACAAGUCGAGACAUCAUAACUCAACUUUUAUCAACUAGUUUUUUUUUUUUUAAACAACAUUAUAUGUAUUAGAAUUUAAUAAAUAAGUGUAACACUUUAUAACGUAAAGUUAAAAGACUAUUUGGGUGUUGUGCAAGGUCAAUCCAUCAAAGCACUUCUUUAGAGUGUAGGUGGUAAAGUUUUUUAAAAUUUAUAAGUUGAUCAAGCAUAAAUUUUUUCAUGGAUUUCAAACUUUUUAGGCACACAGUCCGUGUGGAUACAAAUAUCAUUAUUAUGGAAGAGAUGUAUAAAUGAUAUGAUGGAUAAUUAAGCCCUUAUUCAAGCUUGAUCUUUAAAAUAUUAAUUUUCUCUCAAACUCAUUUGUUAUCAUACAUUCUCUCAAUGUAAUAAUUUUACAUGUAAAUUCAAUUUUUUUCUACUUUUUAACCCUACAUUCCUAUAAACUCUCUAUUAUAAAAUCCAUUUUCUCAAAAAAAAUGUGAUUCAAGCAAAUUCUAAUUAAUUUUACACCAUUUGAACGAACUUUUUGGAUGCAAACUAUUAUAGUGACGAGACGUGCUAAUUAAUAAAAUAUUGAGAUAAAGAAUAGGUGACAAAUGUUAGGGAUACAAGUUUUAUGAUAAGCAAAAAUUGAAAAAAUUAAGUAUAAUUAAAAAGUAGUUCAGAUAAAAAAAAAAAUGUUGUGCUAAUAAUUUUUUUCUAAAUUGUAAAAUAUGGGUAAUGUUUAACACAUCUAAAUAAGUGACAAUACCAAACAUACCCUUUGACUUUAGUUCAAUUAUAGCAAGAAUAAAAGGCAAAGUCACUGGUAUUAGGUAAUGGUCAAGACACAUUUAUAACUUUUUACUGCAUUAAAAACGACUUAUCACGUGACGUGAUAGCGCGUCUCAUUAACAGCCUUCCACGUGUCAAAUAAAAUUCCGAAUUAAUCUAAAUCCUGCUUGAUUGGAGAUAAUUUCCAAAAAAAUUUCUAUUUUCCAACUUUUUUUUUUUUCUGUGUUUGAUUGCAAAAGUUUUUCAUAGAAUUCAUUUUGAGAAUUGGUUUUCCACCUUUUUUUUGUGUGUGUGUUUUUUUUUAAAUUUUUGACAAUGGGAACAAAUUAUAAGAAUAAUUAUAAAAUGAGAUAUCCAUUAAAUUGAUAAUUUUCAUGUAAAACAAAGCUAAACGAAUACUAAAAUAUAGAUGAUUUUUGAAUUUUUUUUAUAAUGGACACAAAUUCUAGGAAUAAUUGUAGAAGUUGACAUCUCUAAAAUUGACAAUUUUCAUGAAAAAUAAAGUCAAACGAAUAUCAAAAUAUACUUUUAUUUUAAUAUUUUUCAGGUGAAAAAUUAUACAAAUUAUACACUAUUAAUUGACAAUUCCCAGUAAAAUAAUUUCUAGACAAUUCAAUUCUCUCGAAUUUGUUUUCUUUCCAACCAAAUUUUAUUUUUGCAAUCAAAUGGAUCCUAGUUGUUCAAACUUUGUUUGGCCAUUAAUUUCUAUUGAUUUUAAAAAUUGUUUUUGAAAUGAUUAGUUCAGAUGUUAUCAAUACAUAACAUGUAAACCAAGCACCCGUUUGGCUCUUGUUUUUUUUAAAUUUUAAUGGUUGGAAUAAUAUUUUUUGAAAAAUUUAUGAUUGAAAUAGAAUGAAAUUUUUUUGAUUUGUAUAUAAUAUUAUUUUAUGAAAAAUUGUGUAAUUAAAAAGAAGAGUGAGAAAAAGAUUGAAGAGGAGAACAUGGGCCAAAUUUAUCAGUCUAAUUUGUAUAAAUAACAUAUUCUAAAACUUUGGACCGGUCAUGUCGAUCUUAUCUACAUUUAACGUCACGUCAUCGCAGAUCCCCCAGAUCCAAUCGCACGGUACAGAUUUCAUCUUAACAUAAACCUGCUCGACUUUUAACGCUCAUUUCGUCCUUAAAUAUCUCCGCUCAGUGCUCUUAAUUAGGGAAUAACAUAGCUAAUAGGCAGUGUCAAUUGAGCUCUACAUGAGCCGAGCUCGCUAAAUUGCGCCCAUGGGGUUACUUGACCAGCUCUGGGACGACACCGUUGCCGGCCCCCAGCCGGACAGUGGCCUAGGGAAACUCAGAAAACACGCUACCUUUGGCUUCCGGCUUAACUACGGCAAGGGUACGCCUUUGUUGCCAUCUUAAGCCGGUGGUCCACCCUGAUCGUAACAUGAUACCCCUGAGAACUCGUUAAAUUCUUCUGUACAUAAUAUUGUGCAAUAAUCAUAUAUACAUUAAGAUGAAUUUGGAUAUUGUUAAGAUAAUCAUUCCAUAAGCUUUUAAUUUAGCUGGCUAUGUUCUAGAUUUUCACCGAGUAUUAAUGUUUUCCACUUAUUAACAGGAAAAUGUUUAAAGUUCGGAUCGAUUAGAUUAAUAUACUUUUGUUAUUGUCACUUCGAGAAAUAGAAUUAAGUACGUAUAAAUUGAGAAGGUAAUUAUUAUAAUGGAAAUUUAUGUAUUUGUCAAGAAUUUAAUUGUGAUUAGAAUUUAUUUUGCUUACGAAAAUUUUGGUUUAAAUUCGCGUUUACGGGAUCAGAUUCAGAAGAUGCGAAUCCAAGAUCUCUUGGAGAUGAAGCGGGUGAGGAUGAAGUGAGGGUUACAAGAAGCAUUAUGAUAUUAAAGCCUCAAGGUGUUCAGAAAGGCUCGCCGCUGGUUUCGCCGGCUACCUCCACACCUCCCGUAUCUCCUUUCGCCGGUAAGCCGGUUCCGGUUAGCUUCAUGAGUUAUCAUAUUUUUCUAUAUUUUAUUCUAAUUAUGAUGUCAAACAUUCCAGUACCUUCUUGCAAAUUUAUUGUUUAAAGUGCCCCGGGUAAUAAUGUGGUCUAGAAGUAUCUCAGGGAAUCUGAAUAGGGUAAUUUGGACAGUUUGUUUUUCGAAAACGGAAUAACGAUAAGGGUAUUUUAGUCCUUUUAGGAAGCUUGUCACAGUAAUAAUCGGUAAUAAUAGAGAUUAGAGAUGAGAUAAGUUUAGGUAUGAUGGGCCAAUUAUUUUAUUUUUUAAUUUUGUCUUGAGAGUUAAGCGUGACAUUUGUGGAAUCUACUAGGAUACAAUUGUUAAAACUUAAAAUAGAAUUAUGCCUUUGUCCACUUCCCGAAUUCGUGCGUGGCAUUGCUUAAACAGACCCAGGAAUUGUUAAAACUUAUAAUAGAAUUACGACUUUGGCUAUAGUUAUUAAAAGUAAUGCUAUGUAGUCUCAUUUAGUGCGUUAAUGACAUUAAGCUCCCGUCGGUUGGAUUUUAAGUUGAUUAAAAUUUCAUGUUAAAGUUAACAAUUAAUUUUGAUUACAAAUUCUAUGGGAUUAAGAUGUUUACAGCCAAAUAUUUGAUUAUAACUUUUAUCUAAAUUUACUAGAAGUUUGAUUUUAAUAUACACCCAACUGGGGCUAAUUUUUGAUUAUGAAUAAGGUUAGGUGCAGGAGGAAGAGAGGCAUUUCGGUUUCGUAGGAGGUCUGCAUCCUUUGCUUACGAGAAGGCUAGCGGAGUUGGACCCAGGAGCCCUCCUCCUCCUUACGACCUGUGAUAUACAACGAUAUCGAGGCUUCGAUCCUUUUCUCCCUGGAGGCUACUCUAAAUGUUGUUGUUAUAUCCUUUCUGUUUAAGGAUGUUUUGGGGAGUAAGAGUAUUAUUAGUGUAAAUAGAUGUAUGUACACGAUAUCCAUCCACUGCAUAGUGUUACCUUGAGUGAGGCUGUUUCCAAGACUCGAGAGUUGUAAGCAGUUCACUAGUAAAAGGGUUUCUCCAUUGCUCUACGAGUUUAGUUUUUGUUCUCUUUAUUGCGUAUCAUGAAUAAGAAUUUAAUAUCACUUGGGCCUUUCGAUGUAAUAACAACUAUGUCAUUUUGAAACUCGCCCCUCGGGAUAUAUUCCAGUGGUGUAAAGGACAAGGGUGAAGUUUACUCAGUCUUGUUGACAGUCACAGUGUAAGGGUUUGAUUCCUGAAAUAUGGAUUAUGAUUUUUUGUGGGCACCAUAGUACAUGCAGCUCUUGUUUUUUGGCCUACUGGAGUACAUUUCGCGAUUAGUAUCUCUCCCGAUUUUCCAAGGACAGGGUGAUGGGGACAUUUAAGGUUGGGGUUUAACCUUUUUUUUAACUAUGUCAUUUUGAAACCCUACUAAACUUGGAAAACUCUGCUCAGAUUGCUGAAGUACAAAUAGCCCCAGCUUGAAAGGAAUCGAAAUCAGAUUUUUAGUAGAUUUUGAUAAAAGUUGAUGGAAUGUGAAAAAUUAUAUAUUUUAUGAAAUAUGUGGUUGAAAUUAAUUGUUAAUUUUGACCUAUUUUGAAAUUUGGAUUUUAAUUUCUAUAUAUAAUUGUUUGAUUCAUGAUUGGUUUCCCAUCUUUUGGCGUGGACAAAAAUAGGCUGAAGGUCAUGUAACACUUGAGCUGCUCAAGGAUUGUUUCUCACUCUGGAUCUAAUUGAAUAAGUUAUUCUUCCAUACUAUGUUGAAAAAAUUAAUGGCACUUUUCGAAAGGUCUAAAAGUGCUAAAAGUGCCUUUGAUUAUCAAAAAUGUUAUUUUUUUAAUCAAAUUUUUAUUUUCGUGCUGUUUGAUUAAAUUUUUUUAUGAAAAAUAUUUUCGUACUUUUGAUUACGUAAUUAUAUUUUUCUCGUAAAAUAUAUAUAUAUUUUUUUUAGAUUGGAUGGGUUUUUAUUUUUCAAGUAAUUUACUUUUUUUUUUCUCUCACAUCUACUCCCCUUCUUUAUCAUUUACCUACCAAUAAAAAAUGAAAAAAUAUAACAUUUUUUAGGUUGAGAAAAUUAAACACAUUUAAUUGAUAAUUUUCAUGCAAAUAAUUUUUAGACAAAUCAAUUGUCUAGAGUUUAUUUUCUUUUUAUGUAAAUUUUAUGUUUACAAUCAAACACAUCCUAAAUAUUUAGAUUGCAAUUAUAUCGAGGAGUUUUUGAAAUUUCUCGUUGGCUCGAUCCUUCGUGUCACUAAGUAGCCUAGAAAGUUUUUCCCAGCUAUGCUUUAAAGGAAUAUUUGUGGAGUAGGGCUUCAUAGUGUAUUUUUCAACACUCGGAAGGUUUGUUGGAGGUUGUCUACGACUCGCUCAGUGAUCAUAGAAUACAUUAAGAGCCUAUUUGAUAGAAUUUAUUCGAGAAUAAUGAGUUUUUUAAUAGUAUUUUUUGAAAAAUGUAUGGUUAAAAAAUAAGGAAACAUCAUUGAUUUGUGAGUAAAAUAUUUUAUUAUAUGAAUGUGUUGUGGAGAAUGAUCAUGUAGCAAACAAUUUAAAUUUUUAAAGGAUAACAAACGGGGGUAAACAUAGUUCAUAUAGAAUUUGAUCCAUUCCCAAGUUGAUCCAUAAGCAUCUUGUUUACCAGAAACCGUUAUGUUUCUGUGACAAUUCUUUAGUAUGAUAGAAAGUCCCUUGUUCAAUCACGGAGGCCGUCUUUUCUCAGUUAUCAUCGUGAUCUUAUUGUAGCCUGAGAAAGCAUCGUAAGGCCAUCUUCAACUCUACACUAAAAUUUGCACAAUUUUGCACCAAGCUAAAAAUCAUUUUCAACCAUUUCACUAAAAUUUGCACCAAAUAAGAUAGUGUUUAAUCAUUUUCUUAACUUUUUUUAUUCUUAAUAAUUUAUUUAUUUGAAAAAACAUUUAUUUAUUUAUUUUAUCAAUGAGAUGUAAAAGCAGUAUGGAAAAUAUCAAAAGAGCGAUAAACACCCAUUUCCAAAAGAAGCCCGAGAGACAAAUCUGAAUGUCUUUUAUAGAUAAUACACCUCGUCCAUAAUGCGUUUGGCAACCAAAAUGCCUCAAUACACAUAAUCAUUGCCUUGUCCAAAAAUACGCGUGACUCAUGCAUGAGACUGGUCAAAAUGUCUCAUUAUAUAUAUAAACAUUGCCUUGUUCAAAAUGCUCGUGACUCAAGCACGAAACUGAUCAAAAUGUCUCAAUACAUAAAGUACACCUUGUCCAAAAUUAGCAUGACCUAAACAUUCAUUGACAUUACUGUAUUUAAAGAACAAAACAGAAUAUGAGCAUAAAUAAUAUGGUAAAAUAGCAAUGAUUAAAAAACUCCCACUAAUCAUAUACUACAUAAGACUCUAGCAAUCCCAAAUGAGCCACAUGCUCCCGAAAUAAUUUUUGGAGCUAAAACUUUAGUUAGUGGGUCAGCUAACAUAUGAUCCAUUGAAAUAUGCUCAAUACAAAUAUAAGGCUCAUUUAUUUUCUCUCUUACAAACAAAUACUUAAUAUCAAUAUGCUUAGAGCGUGAAGAAUUUCUAGUAUUUCGAUAGAAAGCAACUGCUACAGAAUUGUCACAAAAUAUCUUCAACGGCCUCGAAAUGGUGUUCACUAUACCUAGCCCCGAGAAAAAUGUUCCGCAACCAUAUAGUCUGACAUGUAGCCUCAUAACAAGCCACAUACUCUACCUCCAUUGUAGAGGAAGCAAUAAGUGUCUGUUUUACACUUUUCCAAGAAAAAGCUCCCUCUGCCAUCAUAAAAUCAUAACCAGAAGUAAACAUCCUGUCAUCUAAACAACCUGCAGAAUUGACAUCAGAAUAUACAACUAUAUCAAGAAUGUCAGAUCGUCGAUAGGUAAGCAUUGGAUCUUUAAUGCCUUGCAAAAGCCUAAGUACUUUCUUUACAAGUUUUCAGUGAGCUAAACCAGGACCACUCAAAUAUCUCCCAAGUACACUGACAACAUAUUCAAAGUCAGGCCAUGUACAUACUCAAGCAUACAUUAAACUACCCACAUAUGAAGAUAGAGAAUUGUUUGCAUUUGAGUCCUCAUUAUCAUCCUUAGGGCAUUGAAACUUAGAAAAUUUAUCACCUUUCACAAUAGAUACUUUUCCAAGAGAACAAUAAUGCAUAUUAAACCUACUCAAAAAUUAAUCAAUGUAGGUUUUCUGAGAUAAUCUAAGAACGCCUUUAGAUCUAUUACGAAAAAUCUGAAUCCCCAAAACAUAAGAGGCCUCACCUAGAUCCUUCACAUCAAAAUGAGAUGAUAGCAUGCGCUUUAUCUCAAGUAAAAGCUCAAUGUCAUUUACAGCGAAUAAUAUAUCAUCAACAUAAAGAACAAGAAAGAUACACUUACUUCCAGUGACCCUCAAGUAUAUGCAUUGAUCAACAACAUUUUCCUUGAAACCGAAAGAAGUGACAAUCGCAUCAAAUUUUAGGUACCACUGUCUCGAUGCUUGCUUGAGCCCAUAAAUAGACUUCUUAAGCUUACACACCAUGUGUUCCUUUCCACCGACUUGAAAAUCAUCUGGUUGCAUCAUGUAUACAUCCUCAAAUAAGUGUCCAUUAAGAAAGACUGUCUUGACAUCCAUUUGAUGCAACUCGAGAUCAAAAUGAGCCACUAACACCAUAAUAAUCCGAAAAGAAUCCUUGGUAGAAACAUGCGAGAAGGUAUCCUUAUAAUUAAUGUCUUCUCUUUGAUUGAAGCCCUUAGCAACAAGCUUAGCUUUAUACUUUCCUAUCUGACCUUCAGAAUUAUACUGGGUCUUGAAAACCCAUUUAUAGCUAAUUGGCCUAUAGCCACAAGGUAGUUCAACUUAGUUGACACACCCCGCCCCGUGUAACACCACUAGAUUCGGACGUGACAUGUACCGAUGAUAGAUACCAACUAAAAGUCGAACACACCAUCAAGGCUACUACAAAUACAAUAUAUCACUUUUUAUACAUCAUUUUUCUAACAAAAUUUCGGCAUUAUCUCCCCUGUAAACAGGGCUAACCAACCUGUGAUCAAUUUCAUACAAAUCCCAAACUAUAGCACAACACAAGAAAGAUAAGCCAAAAUCUCCACUUUUACCAAGAUAUACAAUGAAAAUACAUAUGGAUACAUAAUACAUAGUGAGCCCCAUAACUAUCCACAAGAUGAUGUAAAAUCACAUCUAGACAUGAACAUGUGUCCUAAAACACUGACUACAUGUUCUAUGAAGUGAGUCAUACUAACAAACUCUGUCGUGUGGCUCUGACUCCAAAAUCAAGGCUCAACUCCAAAAGAUGCUCAGAUUCUCAACUACCUCCUUAUAAGAAAAAACGUGAAAAAAUAUAUGAGUUGAUAGUUCAGUGAGUGGAGAAAUUCAAAAUAAAUAUACUUUUUCAUUUAUACAUUUUUAUUGAAAAUCAAAUUCAUACCAUUUGAUAAUUCACAAGCUACCAUAAUGUAAUUAUAACAAAAAAGUGAAAUAUUCACAUAAGGUCAUAAAAAUAUCAUCUUAAAAUCAUGAUAUAACAUCAGCUGAUAACCAUGCUAUAAUCUCAUUACAUCAAACGUGCUGAAAAUUCACCAAAAAUGUACCAUCUGACUGAAAUAUGUAAUCCGCCUCUCGGGCUAAGAGCUCUUGCUACGGGCCUUUGGCCCCCUCCACGAACGAAAGCGGGUCUCAAAGACCUCUCAUAAUCAUUUCUAGAACACGGUCAAGGCCCCUCUGUGAACUAUAUGUACACGAUUAAGACCAAUGUCAGGUCAAGACCCUCCGUGUAGGAUAGAACACGGCCAAGGCCCCUCUGUAAACUAGAAUAAGUAUAUAAUCAUGGGUAUUUUUCUAGCCGAUCUCAAUAUUACAUGUUUCACAUACCAAACAAAUCUCAAUAUCACAUGUCUUACAUAACAAGUCACAAAUAUGCCAUAAAUAAUCUUUGAUAUUCCACUUGUAUCAUAAUAAAAGAGAUUUCCAUAAUAACCAUAUAAUUCGAACACAUAAUUGCACAUACUUUGACAAUAUACUUAAUUUAUAAAUAUUUCAAAUAUAUUUAUAUUUUUCCACUUACAGAACUAUGUACGCCAAAAUCAAUUCGAUUUGUACGCUGUCUCGAUAUCCGUAUCGUCGACUGAAAUAUAAUAUAAUUUUUAAAUCAACAAUUAACUAAUUUAAGUAAUUUCAAUAAUUAAAUAGGCGAUACCUAAACAUAAUUAUUUCACAUUUAGGCGAUUUCUAAAGUCUCUUUAAUUACUAAAAUUAAUUUUUCUUUCAUUUUACUCAAUUUCAUAGUUUAUUACACUUAACCCCUUCAAUAAAAUUAAAUUUAACCUAACAAUCUAACAACUAUAAAAUCAAACAUAACUUAACAAUAAGUAAAUUUUAUUUACCUUUCGAAAUUGAGAAAUUCAAGCCUAAUAGUAUAACUCACUUGAUUCCUAACACGUUGGCAAGUUCCCCCCCCCCCUUUUUCCUGCUUUUCCUUCCUCUUUUUCCUUUAUCUUUUUCUCUUUUUUUCUUCUCUGGUCCAUUUUCUGUUUUGGUGUGUGGUGUUUGUUUUAUGUUAUUACUUUGUUUUUGGUGUAAUUGGAUUGAUAUCAAUCCAAUUCCACCGCCUCGUAUACUAUAUUUAAUUUUAUUUUUUUUGUUUGACUUUUUAAAAAAA
rnacentral:lncRNA from 1 species